rnacentral:misc_RNA from 1 species
CGCAUCUACAUACUUUCAGAGUUUUCAGACUUCGGAAAGACGUAGAGGAUGGUGCUAAAAAAAUAAAAUUUCCACAAGACUCUAUCUCAAGAGUCUCAAGAGACUGAAAUACUGGGUUAUGCGGUUGGCAAUCUGGUUCCCACAUAUGCUUCAAAUCAUCAACUUUUUUAAGCUUUAAAGCCCUUAUCGGUGGGAAUGCAGUGGUAUCUUCUUGGUCACCCACGAAUCCUUCAAAUGGAAAUAGCUGCUUGAGAGAAGAAUCAAGGACUACAAGAUUUUGCAGAUUGGGAAAUCCUGGAAGUAAACUAAACAAAGGAACAAGAGAUUUGUUUGGAAAGCAACGCAAUUGAAGAACUUUCACUUGGGAAAAGAAGUCAGUUGGAAAUUGAGAUUGCAGUAUGG